rnacentral:rRNA from 1 species
GCUUACGGCCACACCACCCUGAACACGCCCGAUCUCGUCUGAUCUCGGAMGCUAAGCAGGGUCGGGCCUGGUCAGUACUUGGAUGGGAGACCGCCUGGGAAUACCAGGUGCUGUAAGCUUUU